AGGGAAUCUUCCACAAUGGACGCAAGUCUGAUGGAGCAACGCCGCGUGAGUGAAGAAGGCUUUCGGGUCGUAAAACUCUGUUAUUGAAGAAGAACGUGUGUGACAGUAACUGGUCAUGCAGUGACGGUAUUCAAUCAGAAAGUCACGGCUAACUACGUGCCAGCAGCCGCGGUAAUACGUAGGUGGCAAGCGUUGUCCGGAUUUAUUGGGCGUAAAGCGAGUGCAGGCGGUCUUUUAAGUCUGAUGUGAAAGCCUUCGGCUUAACCGAAGAAGGGCAUCGGAAACUGGGAGACUUGAGUGCAGAAGAGGAGAGUGGAACUCCAUGUGUAGCGGUGAAAUGCGUAGAUAUAUGGAAGAACACCAGUGGCGAAGGCGGCUCUCUGGUCUGUAACUGACGCUGAGGCUCGAAAGCGUGGGUAGCAAACAGGAUUAGAUACCCUGGUAGCCCACGCCGUAAACGAUGAAUACUAAGUGUUGGAGGGUUUCCGCCCUUCAGUGCUGCAGCUAACGCAUUAAGUAUUCCGCCUGGGGAGUACGACCGCAAGGUUGAAAC
rnacentral:rRNA from 1 species